rnacentral:lncRNA from 1 species
UCCCUUAAAAAACUAUUUUAUUUCAUAAUAGGCGAGUUUAUUAAAUAAAUUUCACCCAAGGCAUUAAAAAUUAUGUAUUUGAUGACUCUGCACAGAGUAAGCUCAACUAACAUGCCAUAGAACAUUGUGGCUUUCCUUAUAUUUGAUGACUCUGCACAGAGUAAGCUCAACUAACAUGCCAUAGAACAUUGUGGCUUUCCUUAUAUUUCUUAAGGGCAGGAAAACAAAAUAAUGGUGACACGUGUUGAGGGGAGGGAAUGCAGACCCUAGGAUUAUCU